rnacentral:lncRNA from 1 species
ACAAACUGAAAACACUAAAGAGCAGAUAGAUUCGCCAUUGAAGAGUUCACAAGUAGAAAGAAGAGUUGAGAGGGAGAGAAAUUAGGGUCGCUUAAACCAUGAAGAAGUACCUGCGCAGGUCGUCGGAGACAAACAGAAAUCUUCAGCAAAGCUUCAGAGAGAUUUAAAGGUUGUAGACAAACAGCAAAUAGUAAAGAAGAGAUGGAGUCGCCAUUGAAAUUUCGCUUAAACCAUGAAGAAGAACCUGCGACAGGUCGUCCGAGACAAACAGAAUUCUUACAGCAAAGCUUCAGAGAGAUGUAGAGAAACAGAAAAGAGUAAAGAAGAGGUCGAUUCGCCAUUGAAGAGUUCACAAGUCGAAAGAGGAGUCGCGAGGGAGAGAAAAU